GAUGAACGCUGGCGGCGUGCUUAACACAUGCAAGUCGAACGGAAAGGCCCAAGCUUGCUUGGGUACUCGAGUGGCGAACGGGUGAGUAACACGUGGGUGAUCUGCCCUGCACUUCGGGAUAAGCCUGGGAAACUGGGUCUAAUACCGGAUAGGACCACUUCUUGGAUGUUGUGGUGGAAAGUUUUCUCGGUGUGGGAUGAGCUCGCGGCCUAUCAGCUUGUUGGUGGGGUAAUGGCCUACCAAGGCGUCGACGGGUAGCCGGCCUGAGAGGGUGUACGGACACAUUGGGACUGAGAUACGGCCCAGACUCCUACGGGAGGCAGCAGUGGGGAAUAUUGCACAAUGGGCGAAAGCCUGAUGCAGCGACGCCGCGUGGGGGAUGACGGCCUUCGGGUUGUAAACUCCUUUCGCUAGGGACGAAGCGUUUUUGUGACGGUACCUGGAGAAGAAGCACCGGCUAACUACGUG
rnacentral:rRNA from 1 species